AACGAACGCUGGCGGCAGGCUUAACACAUGCAAGUCGAACGCCCGUAGCAAUACGGGAGUGGCAGACGGGUGAGUAACGCGUGGGAAUCUUCCCAAGGGUACGGAACAACUCAGGGAAACUUGAGCUAAUACCGUAUGUGCCCGAGAGGGCAAAGAUUAAUCGCCUUUGGAUGAGCCCGCGUUGGAUUAGCUAGUUGGUGGGGUAAUGGCCUACCAAGGCGACGAUCCAUAGCUGAUCUGAGAGGAUGAUCAGCCACACUGGGACUGAGACACGGCCCAGACUCCUACGGGAGGCAGCAGUGGGGAAUCUUGGACAAUGGGCGAAAGCCUGAUCCAGCCAUGCCGCGUGAGUGAAGAAGGCCUUAGGGUUGUAAAGCUCUUUUGCCCGGGAAGAUAAUGACGGUACCGGGAGAAUAAGCCCCGGCAAACUUCGUGCCAGCAGCCGCAGUAAGAC
rnacentral:rRNA from 1 species